UUUUCAUGAAUUAUUCAUGAAUAACUCAUGGAAAUGCAAGGUUUAUUCAUGCUCCAAAAAACCCAAGGCUUUUUUCCUCUUCUCUUCUGCAUUCUCUCCCUGUAAGAAACAGACCUGAAACAAGCUAAGGAAUGUAUAUAUAUAAUUGAGGACAGCAGGUGGGAGCUUUCUAAGCCAGACAAAGGAGACCUGACAAGAAACUGCAGUGAAAGGACAAACCCAAGGCAAAGGAAUGUCCGGUCACCUCCUUCCCUGGAGCAGGCAGCUGAGAUCUGCAUAGACAGGAAGCAUUUUGCAAGACUCAACACCUGGAGCAGUGCUAACCAGGUCUCACUGCCUCAGGUAGAACUCCAUUUGCAGAGCAUUCCU
rnacentral:lncRNA from 1 species